CCUACGGGAGGCAGCAGUGGGGAAUAUUGCACAAUGGGCGGAAGCCUGAUGCAGCGACGCCGCGUGAGGGAUGAAGGCCUUCGGGUUGUAAACCUCUUUCAGCAGGGACGAAGCGUGAGUGACGGUACCUGCAGAAGAAGCACCGGCUAACUACGUGCCAGCAGCCGCGGUAAUACGUAGGGUGCGAGCGUUGUCCGGAAUUACUGGGCGUAAAGAGUUCGUAGGCGGUUUGUCGCGUCGUUUGUGAAAACCCGGGGCUCAACUUCGGGCUUGCAGGCGAUACGGGCAGACUUGAGUGUUUCAGGGGAGACUGGAAUUCCUGGUGUAGCGGUGAAAUGCGCAGAUAUCAGGAGGAACACCGGUGGCGAAGGCGGGUCUCUGGGAAACAACUGACGCUGAGGAACGAAAGCGUGGGUAGCAAACAGGAUUAGAUACCCUGGUAGUCCACGCCGUAAACGGUGGCGCUAGGUGUGGGUUCCUUCCACGGGAUCUGUGCCGUAGCUAACGCAUUAAGCGCCCCGCCUGGGGAGGUACGGCCGCGACGACGUAAACUUAAAGUAAGUAGACGGCGUGAGACGUGCCGAACGGACGACGACGAGGGAGUAGG
rnacentral:rRNA from 1 species